UAUAUAUAUAUAUAUAUAAUUUAAAAAAAUGAAAAAAAAUGGCUUCUGUUUAGGACACAAGUACAGGUUUUGGGACAUGGCCACACAAUGGGUUAGUGGUUAGAGCGUUGGGCCAUUAACCGAAAGGUUGCUAGAUCGAAUCCCCGAGCUGACAAGGUACAAAUCUGUCGUUCUUCCUCCUGAAAGAGACAUUGUAAAUAAGAAUUUGUUCUUAACUGACUUGCCUAGUUAAAUAAAGGUUUAAUUUUUUUUCUUCCAAAAUGGCAACACACACCUCAGUUCAGCAGCACAGUAACUCCUAAUCUCUCCACCAGGGGGCAGGCUUGAUUCAGUUCUCAAUUCCACUUUCCAUUUAGUAAUUUAUUGAUUUCAGAGUUCUAAUUAAGUGGAAGUUCAGAUUAAUCAUGUACUAAAUUUAAAACUCCUUUUAUCAAACAUUGGACAUAUUCAAUUGACUUCUUUAAUUGACUGAGUUAAAACUGUCAGGUCCCAAUCCUGCUCUCUCCCUCCCCCCUCUUCCCUCUCUCUCCCUCCACUCCCUCUUCCCUCUCUCUCCCUCCACUCCCUCUUCCCUCUCUCUCCCUCCACUCCCUCUUCCCUCUCUCCCCUUCCCUCUCUCUCCCUCUUCCCUCCCUUCACUCCCUUCCCUCUCUUCCCUCCCUUCCCUCCCCUUUCCCUCUCUCUCCCUCCACUCCCUCUUCCCUCUCUCUCCCUCCACUCCCUCUUCCCUCUCUCCCCUUCCCUCUCUUCCCUCCCUUCUCCCCCCACCCCCUCUUUCUCCAGGUUGAGAAAAACUGAUUGUGAAAAGCAUCAUGUAACAUAAAUCCCCAUGGAAACGUAGCAGAGAUCUUUUAAAUAUAGCAAUAUACAGACUAAUGUAUGAUACUUGAUUAUAAUCUCAACAUAUAUAAAUACAUACCAGUAUGACAAUGUUUGUAAUUUAUGUAUAAAAUAAUUCAGCAACAUGUUUAUUAGUAUUUGGUUGAUGUUUCCAGAAGGUUUGAUGACUUUCUAUUAAAUAUUUUGUAAAAUC